rnacentral:tRNA from 3 species
GUUUUAAUAGUUUAUUUUUAAAAUAUUGAUUUUGUAAAUCAAAGAAAAAUAUUUUUAUUUUUAAAACU